GAUGAACGCUGGCGGCGUGCCUAAUACAUGCAAGUCGAGCGAACGGACGAUUUUCUUUCUUUUCUUAUGUUUGCGGCUGUCGUGUGAUUAACACGUGUAUAACCUUCCUUUUUUUCUUGUAUAACUUCGUGAAUCCUUCUCUAAUACCGUCUAAUUUUUUGAACCUCUUUGUUCAUUAGUUUAUGUCGUUCUUUCUGUCUCUUCUAGCUUGUUCCGCGCUGCAUUAGCUAGUUGUUAAGGUAACGGCUUACCAAGGCAACGAUGCAUAGCCGACGUGAGAGGGUGAUCGGACAAACGGGAAGUGAGACACGGACAAGACUACUACGGGAGGCAGCAGUAGGGAAUAUGACGGAAUGGGCGAAAGCAUGACGGAGCAAAGCCGAGUGAGUGAAGAAGGUCUUCGGAGCGUAAAACUAUGUUAUGAGGGAAGAAAAAAUGUGAAAGUAAAAGAGAAGAGAAUGACGGUAACGAAAAAGAAAGCAACGGCUAACUACGUG
rnacentral:rRNA from 1 species